rnacentral:rRNA from 1 species
CCUACGGGGGGCAGCAGUGAGGAAUAUUGGUCAAUGGGCGAGAGCCUGAACCAGCCAAGUCGCGUGAAGGAUGACGGCCCUACGGGUUGUAAACUUCUUUUGUCAGGGAGCAAUUGGGUCCACGCGUGGGCUUAGCGAGAGUACCUGAAGAAAAAGCAUCGGCUAACUCCGUGCCAGCAGCCGCGGUAAUACGGAGGAUGCGAGCGUUAUCCGGAUUUAUUGGGUUUAAAGGGUGCGUAGGCGGAAUAUCAAGUCAGCGGUAAAAAUUCGGGGCUCAACCCCGUCGUGCCGUUGAAACUGAUGGUCUUGAGUGGGCGAGAAGUAUGCGGAAUGCGUGGUGUAGCGGUGAAAUGCAUAGAUAUCACGCAGAACUCCGAUUGCGAAGGCAGCAUACCGGCGCUCAACUGACGCUCAUGCACGAAAGCGUGGGUAUCGAACAGGAUUAGAUACCCUGGUAGUC